ACCUGAAACCGUGUACGUACAAGCAGUGGGAGCCUCUUAAUGGGGUGACUGCGUACCUUUUGUAUAAUGGGUCAGCGACUUAUAUUCUGUAGCAAGGUUAACCGAAUAGGGGAGCCGAAGGGAAACCGAGUCUUAACUGGGCGUUAAGUUGCAGGGUAUAGACCCGAAACCCGGUGAUCUAGCCAUGGGCAGGUUGAAGGUUGGGUAACACUAACUGGAGGACCGAACCGACUAAUGUUGAAAAAUUAGCGGAUGACUUGUGGCUGGGGGUGAAAGGCCAAUCAAACCGGGAGAUAGCUGGUUCUCCCCGAAAGCUAUUUAGGUAGCGCCUCGUGAAUUCAUCUCCGGGGGUAGAGCACUGUUUCGGCAAGGGGGUCAUCCCGACUUACCAACCCGAUGCAAACUGCGAAUACCGGAGAAUGUUAUCACGGGAGACACACGGCGGGUGCUAACGUCCGUCGUGAAGAGGGAAACAACCCAGACCGCCAGCUAAGGUCCCAAAGUCAUGGUUAAGUGGGAAACGAUGUGGGAAGGCCCAGACAGCCAGGAUGUUGGCUUAGAAGCAGCCAUCAUUUAAAGAAAGCGUAAUAGCUCACUGGUCGAGUCGGCCUGCGCGGAAGAUGUAACGGGGCUAAACCAUGCACCGAAGCUGCGGCAGCGACACUAUGUGUUGUUGGGUAGGGGAGCGUUCUGUAAGCCUGUGAAGGUGGCCUGUGAGGGUUGCUGGAGGUAUCAGAAGUGCGAAUGCUGACAUAAGUAACGAUAAAGCGGGUGAAAAGCCCGCUCGCCGGAAGACCAAGGGUUCCUGUCCAACGUUAAUCGGGGCAGGGUGAGUCGACCCCUAAGGCGAGGCCGAAAGGCGUAGUCGAUGGGAAACAGGUUAAUAUUCCUGUACUUGGUGUUACUGCGAAGGGGGGACGGAGAAGGCUAUGUUGGCCGGGCGACGGUUGUCCCGGUUUAAGCGUGUAGGCUGGUUUUCCAGGCAAAUCCGGAAAAUCAAGGCUGAGGCGUGAUGACGAGGCACUACGGUGCUGAAGCGACAAAUGCCCUGCUUCCAGGAAAAGCCUCUAAGCAUCAGGUAACAUCAAAUCGUACCCCAAACCGACACAGGUGGUCAGGUAGAGAAUACCAAGGCGCUUGAGAGAACUCGGGUGAAGGAACUAGGCAAAAUGGUGCCGUAACUUCGGGAGAAGGCACGCUGAUAUGUAGGUGAAGCGACUUGCUCGUGGAGCUGAAAUCAGUCGAAGAUACCAGCUGGCUGCAACUGUUUAUUAAAAACACAGCACUGUGCAAACACGAAAGUGGACGUAUACGGUGUGACGCCUGCCCGGUGCCGGAAGGUUAAUUGAUGGGGUUAGCGGUAACGCGAAGCUCUUGAUCGAAGCCCCGGUAAACGGCGGCCGUAACUAUAACGGUCCUAAGGUAGCGAAAUUCCUUGUCGGGUAAGUUCCGACCUGCACGAAUGGCGUAAUGAUGGCCAGGCUGUCUCCACCCGAGACUCAGUGAAAUUGAACUCGCUGUGAAGAUGCAGUGUACCCGCGGCAAGACGGAAAGACCCCGUGAACCUUUACUAUAGCUUGACACUGAACAUUGAGCCUUGAUGUGUAGGAUAG
rnacentral:rRNA from 1 species